AGGGAGUGCGAGCGGUAGACGGCAUGCAGCCAGCCGCGCGUGCCCACACGUUGCACAGUUCGCACUGAGUCCGUGCACCGUGAAGCAUGCUAUACGAGACGAAAGCCAUAAACUCUGUGGGAACGUGCUACUCAACAGUGCCAGCUGUCUCUCAACACGGACCUGCGUCACUCAGGAACAUGUCUUCGAAGCGCAAGUCGCCGCCCACGAAGCUGCAGGAGGGCGGCUGCGGCGACGACGAGCCGUGCCCGCC